GACGAACGCUGGCGGCGUGCUUAACACAUGCAAGUCGAACGGAAAGGCCCUGCUUUUGUGGGGUGCUCGAGUGGCGAACGGGUGAGUAACACGUGAGUAACCUGCCCUUGACUUUGGGAUAACUUCAGGAAACUGGGGCUAAUACCGGAUAGGAGCUCCUGCUGCAUGGUGGGGGUUGGAAAGUUUCGGCGGUUGGGGGUGGACUCGCGGCUUAUCAGCUUGUUGGUGGGGUAGUGGCUUACCAAGGCUUUGACGGGUAGCCGGCCUGAGAGGGUGACCGGCCACAUUGGGACUGAGAUACGGCCCAGACUCCUACGGGAGGCAGCAGUGGGGAAUAUUGCACAAUGGGCGGAAGCCUGAUGCAGCAACGCCGCGUGCGGGAUGGCGGCCUUCGGGUUGUAAACCGCUUUCGCCUGUGACGAAGCGUGAGUGACGGUAAUGGGUAAAGAAGCACCGGCUAACUACGUG
rnacentral:rRNA from 1 species